rnacentral:rRNA from 1 species
UGACGAGUUUGAUCCUGGCUCAGAUUGAACGCUGGCGGAAUGCUUUACACAUGCAAGUCGAACGGUAGAGGGGGCAACCCCUCGAGAGUGGCGAACGGGUGAGUAAUAUAUCGGAACGUGCCCAGUCGUGGGGGAUAACGUAGCGAAAGUUACGCUAAUACCGCAUACGAUCUAAGGAUGAAAGCGGGGACCGCAAGGCCUCGCACUAUAGGAGUGGCCGAUGUCGGAUUAGCUAGUUGGUGAGGUAAAAGCUCACCAAGGCGACGAUCCGUAGCUGGUCUGAGAGACGAUCAGCCACACUGGAACUGACGACACGGGUCCAGACUCCUACGGGGAGGCUAGCGAGUGGGGAAUUUUGGACAAGUGGACGCAAGUCUG